UGCUCCUGGCCUUAAUUGGCUGGGUCGCGGCUCCGGCGCUGUUACUUUGAAAAAAUUAGAGUACUCAAAGCAAGCUUAUGCUCUGAAUACAUUAGCAUGGAAUAACGUGAUAGGAGUCUGGUCCUAUUGUGUUGGCCUUCGGGACCGGAGUAAUGAUUAAUAGGGACUGUCGGGGGCAUUCGUAUUUCAUUGUCAGAGGUGAAAUUCUUGGAUUUUUGAAAGACGGACCACUGCGAAAGCAUUUGCCAAGGAUGUUUUCAUUAAUCAAGAACGAAAUUUGGGGGCUCGAAGACGAUCAGAUACCGUCCUAGUCUCAACCAUAAACGAUGCCGACCAGGGAUCGGCAGAUGUUGCUCUAAGGACUCCGCCAGCACCUUCUGAGAAAUCAGAGUGUUUGGGUUCCGGGGGGAGUAUGGUCGCAAGGCUGAAACUUAAAGGAAUUGACGGAAGGGCAACACCAGGAGUGGAGCCUGCGGCUUAAUUUGACUCAACACGGGGAAACUUACCAGGUCCAGACAUAGUAAGGAUUGACAGAUUGAGAGCUCUUUCUUGAUUCUAUGGGUGGUGGUGCAUGGCCGUUCUUAGUUGGUGGAGCGAUUUUUCUGGUUAAUUCCGAUAACGAACGAGACCUCAGCCUGCUAACUAGCUACGCGGAGGUUCCCCUUCGCGGCCAGCUUCUUAGAGGGACUAUGGCCGUUUAGGCCAUGGAAGUUUGAGGCAAUAACAGGUCUGUGAUGCCCUUAGAUGUUCUGGGCUGCACGCGCACUACACUGAUGCAGCCAACUAGAUUUUCUUCCUGGUUCGAGAGGAUCGGGAAAUCUUUUCAAAUUGCAUCGUGAUGGGGAUAGACCAUUGCAAUUAAUUGUCUUCAACGAGGAAUUCCUAGUAAGCGCGUGUCAUCAACUCGUGUUGACUACGUCCCUGCCCUUUGUACACACCGCCCGUCGCUCCUACCGAUUGAAUGAUCCGGUGAAGUGUUCGGAUUGCGUCGAUGAUGGUGGUUCGCCGCUGUCGACGUCGUGAGAAGUUCAUUGAACCUUAUCAUUUAGAGGAAGGAGAAGUCGUAACAAGGUUACCGUAGGUGAACCUGCGGUAG
rnacentral:rRNA from 1 species